AUGGGGACAACUAAAAAUGAUGGAAAAUGUCAGACUAUUACUGUCGAAAUGACUACUGAUGAGUUGAAGAAGUGGCUUCGGUUCAAGGAAGGAAUCAUUGAUGAAAGGUCAACAACCAAGAUAUUUGCUACAUCUGCUAACCCCUGUGGUAAUACUUCGAAAUUUUUGAAAGGAAGUUAUUUUGAGACUGGUACACAGUGGUUAAUAGACUCUGGUGCGUCUAAACAUAUGGCCGGUUCAUAUAAGGAUUUCUACAGUUAUACUCCUGAUUUUACAGGGCAAAAUGUUAGACUUGCUGAUGGUUCUGGCCAGAGUAUUAAGGGAGUAGGCACAAUUAAAUGUUGCCCAAAUAUGACUCUAUCAUCUGUUUUAUAUGUUCCCUCAUUCCCAAUCAAUUUGCUAUCCAUCAGCUGCAUUACAGGAGAACUUAAUUGUGCUGUAAUCUUCUUCCCAAUAUGGUGUUUAUUCCUGGAACUUGGGACUUGGAAAAUCCUUGGGACAGGAAUUAUGCGAGGUGGUCUAUACUACUUGGAUGAUGAUAUGGCACCUAUGGCUGCUGCUGUGCUAUCUCAGUCACCAUUGGAAGAAUUUCUUCUUCGUCAUCGCAGGCUGGGACACAUAUCCUUUAACACCCUGGAUCUGGACAACGAGAUAGGGGGAGAUAAAGGUGAAGAAUAUAAUGAAGCAGCAUCCAGGAAUAUGAUUGUUGGAGUGAUUCCAGCUGCAGAUAUGUAUGACGAUGAAGAUGAAGGUACAUCAGAAGCUGAACAGAAACGGACACAGGGGGAGCUACGAGAUGAAUCAAAUGAAGCUGUUAAGUGGCCUAAACCAAAUGAAGAACAAGAAGUUCAGGUGUAUAAAAGGAGACAGUGGCCUAAACCAAAUGAAGAACAAGAAGUUCAGGUGUAUAAAAGGAGAAACUGA
rnacentral:rRNA from 1 species